rnacentral:rRNA from 1 species
GGCGGACGGGUGAGUAAUGCUUGGGAAUCUGGCUUAUGGAGGGGGAUAACUACUGGAAACGGUAGCUAAUACCGCGUAAUAUCGAGAGAUUAAAGACUGGGACCUACGGGCCAGUUGCCAUAAGAUGAGCCCAAGUGGGAUUAGGUAGUUGGUGGGGUAAAGGCCUACCAAGCCCGCGAUCUCUAGCUGGUCUGAGAGGAUGACCAGCCACACUGGAACUGAGACACGGUCCAGACUCCUACGGGAGGCAGCAGUGGGGAAUAUUGCACAAUGGGGGGAACCCUGAUGCAGCCAUGCCGCGUGAAUGAAGAAGGCCUUCGGGUUGUAAAGUUCUUUCGGUGGUGAGGAAGGUAUCAACUUUAAUAGAGUUGGUAAUUGACGUUAUCCACAGAAGAAGCACCGGCUAACUCCGUGCCAGCAGCCGCGGUAAUACGGAGGGUGCGAGCGUUAAUCGGAAUGACUGGGCGUAAAGGGCACGCAGGCGGAUUGUUAAGUGAGAUGUGAAAGCCCCGGGCUUAACCUGGGAAUUGCAUUUCAGACUGGCAAUCUAGAGUAUUUUAGGGAGGGGUAGAAUUCCACGUGUAGCGGUGAAAUGCGUAGAGAUGUGGAGGAAUACCGAAGGCGAAGGCAGCCCCUUGGGAAUAUACUGACGCUCAUGUGCGAAAGCGUGGGGAGCAAACAGGAUUAGAUACCCUGGUAGUCCACGCUGUAA